rnacentral:lncRNA from 1 species
GCGGAGAGCCUCCGCAGGAGUCCAUGAAACACUGAGCGAAGGGGCGCCCCAGGGAGGGCACGACCCAAGACCCCUCCCUCCCGAAGACGUCUCACGGGGAGCCUCUACACUGCUCCUCGCUUCCCCAGCUCUGAUCGUAGCCAUGGCAACGCAUGAGGAGGCUGGAUGCCGGACAGGGCGGCGGAGGGCUCCCCAAACACACCCAACUACAGGAGGAUUCGCGCUGAGGACGAAGCCCGAACGCCAACGCCAACGGGAUGUCCUGGGCGCUCAGCUGCCAUCAGCUGUGCUUCCUCAGGCCACCGGCCACGGCUC